rnacentral:rRNA from 1 species
CUGUGACAUACCUUAUGUUGCCUCGGCGGAUCAGCCCGCGCCCCGUAAAAAGGGACGGCCCGCCGCAGGAACCUUAAACUCUGUUUUUAGUGGAACUUCUGAGUAUAAAAAACAAAUAAAUCAAAACUUUCAACAACGGAUCUCUUGGUUCUGGCAUCGAUGAAGAACGCAGCAAAAUGCGAUAAGUAAUGUGAAUUGCAGAAUUCAGUGAAUCAUCGAAUCUUUGAACGCACAUUGCGCCCGCCAGUAUUCUGGCGGGCAUGCCUGUUCGAGCGUCAUUUCAACCCUCAAGCCCAGCUUGGUGUUGGGAGCUGCAGUCCUGCUGCACUCCCCAAAUACAUUGGCGGUCACGUCGAGCUUCCAUAGCGUAGUAAUUUACAUAUCGUUACUGGUAAUCGUCGCGGCCACGCCGUUAAACCCCAACUUCUGAAUGUUGACCUCGGAUCAGGUAGGAAUACCCGCUGAACUUAAGCAUAUCAAUAAGCGGAGGAAAAGAAA